GCGCCCGUAGCUCAAUCUGGAUAGAGCAGGGGACUCCUAAGCCCAAGGUUGCCAGUUCGAUUCUGGCCGGGCGCACCA
rnacentral:tRNA from 1 species